GGUACCCCUUUCAGGUCAUUUUCCUCUCCCACGAUGGCGGCUGCGACGCUGCGCUCCGUACUCCGCCGCAAUCGCCUCCUUCCCUUGUUCGAAACCUGCCGCCUUCGAGAUCGCCUCUUCUUCUCCUCCUCUGUCGACGCUGCCGCCGUCACCGUAGGCGGCACCAUGUCUCCAGAUCCCCACUUCAUGGUGGAAUACCUCGUGAACUCCUGCGGGUUCUCCUCCUCCGAGGCAGCCAAGUUCUCUAAAUCCCUUGCGCACCUCCGAUCCACCGAGAAACCCGACGACGUCCUUAACUUCAUGAGAUCUCAGGGCUUCGACGGCGCCGGUAUCAGGAAGGUGAUAUCUGCGGAUCCCAGAUACUUAUGCUACAACGUGGAGAAGAACCUCGCCCCGAAGUUUCAGUUCUUACGCGAUUUGGGCCUAUCAGAGUCGGAUAUCGUCGAUGCCAUCCUGAAGAACAAUGGCAUCCUCCACUACAACGUUCACCGUUACUUGGUCCCCAAAUUGGAGAUGUGGGAAAGUCUCUUGGGAUCGAGAGAGCUCGUUCUCAAGCAUCUCAAGAAGACCCGAUGGUUUUUCUCCUCCAGCGUUGAGAAGACGUUGCAUCCUAACCUAAAGUUCUUGAGGGAUGAGUGCGGCAUUCCUGAAGAAAGGCUCUCUCUCGUCUUGAGAAGUCACCCAAAAUUAAUCUCACAGAAACCAGAGUCUCUCCGAGCUUUGGUUGCGAGAGCCGAUGAGCUGGGGAUGCCACGGCAAUCUCGGAUGUUCGUGCGGACACUUGUUGCUCUCCACAACGUAAGCCAAGAAAGGUUCGAGGCCAAGGUCGAGCUCAUGAGGAGCUUCGGGUGGUCGGAGUCGGAGUUUUCUUCUGCAGUCAGGAAAGCACCCACCUUCUUAGGCAUCUCCCUCGAUAUGUUUCGCAGAAAAGUGGAAUUUUUUAUCAAUGUGGUCGGUUACACCCCUUCCUUCAUCGCCUCCCAACCAUCUAUCUUGCUAUUUAGUCUGCAGAAGAGGGUAAUUCUUCGGUUUCGUGUCACAGAGAUGUUGAAAUCGAAAGGAUUGUGGACUGGACAAGCCAAGUUUCCAUACAUUCUCGCAUUAUCAGAUACCAAAUUCUUGGAGAAGUUUGUUCUCCCUCACGAAGAAAAUGUUCCUGAGCUGCUCGAUAUUUUGAGAGUUGAUGGCGUGUGUAAAGGAAAAUGAUACCUUUCAUUUGGUAUCGGAGGCUGAGAAAGGGCUUAGCUGAUGGUCUAAUUUGCCAACAAAGGUGCAGAUCUCUUCAUUCUUGGAGUUCAUUCUUGGAUUUGGUGGAUGCAACUUCUCAUCAUCAUAGCUGAAGCUUCUGGUCUACUUGAAAGCCUUCAGAAGGCUGCACAACUAAAUUUCUCCAACAUCUGAAUCGAACUAAUUCCCUUGAGUUAGUCGAUUCGCUGGUUCCUUCUUUUAUUUCUUUGUUCAAGUCUUUAUGUUGUCGAUGUGGUCCAUGUUUCCCGCAUCAUGAAAGGCGUGGGCCAUUGGCUAGUCAAUCUUGGAAGGACUGUAAAUUCUGUCUUUUUGGUUCUUGUAAUAAUAGAUCAAUCUAGCUCGGUAUCUAAUCCACUUUAAUCUUUAAUGAAA